CGGGGUGUGGCGCAGUCCGGUUAGCGCACCUGUUUUGGGAACAGGGGGUCGGAAGUUCGAAUCUUCUCACCCCGACCA
rnacentral:tRNA from 1 species